CCUACGGGUGGCAGCAGUAGGGAAUUUUGGGCAAUGGACGUAAGCCUGACGCAGCAACGCCGCGUGAUCGAGACGCCCUUCGGGGUGUAAAGAUCUGUCAGUGGGGACGAAACUUGACGGUCCCCACAGAGGAAGCACCGGCUCACUUCGUGCCACCAGCCGCGGUAAUAAGGAGGGUGCAAGCGUUGUCCGGCAUCAGUGGGCGUAAAGAGUUCGUAGGGGGCACGUAAAGUCUGUUGUUAAAGGCAGAGGCUCAACCUCGGUACGGCAAUUGAUACUUGCGGGCGAGAGUGCGGGAGAGGCAACGGGAAUUCCUGGUGUAGCGGUGAAAUGCGUAGAUAUUAGGAGGAACAUCGGUGGCGUAAGCGGUUUACUGGACCGUAAUUGACGCUGAGGAACGAAAGCGAGGGUAGCAAAUAGGAUUAGAUACCCUAGUAGUC
rnacentral:rRNA from 1 species